rnacentral:rRNA from 1 species
UACGGGGGGGGGUAAGCGUUGUUCGGAAUUACUGGGCGUAAAGGGCUCGUAGGCGGCCAACUAAGUCAUACGUGAAAUCCCUCAGCUUAACUGGGGAACUGCGUGUGAUACUGGAUGGCUUGGAUUUGGGAGAGGGAUGCGGAAUUCCAGGUGUAGCGGUGAAAUGCGCAGAUAUCAGGAGGAACACCGAUGGCGAAGGCAGGUCUCUGGGCCACUACUGACGCUGAGAAGCGAAAGCAUGGGGAGCGAACAGG